rnacentral:tRNA from 1 species
GGGAAUGCUUGUUGCCCGGUGGUUGCCGCAGCCUUCAAAGCUGUUGUAUUGGUGAAAAACCAAUAGAUAGGUUCGACUCCUAUGCAUUCCC